CCAUUCUCGCCCCCUUAUCACUUUUCCAGCCCAGCUUCGUCAUUGUAACUGUUGGACGGAGAACUGAUAAGGGUGCGCGAGUGA
rnacentral:pre_miRNA from 1 species